GAUGAACGCUGGCGGCGUGCCUAAUACAUGCAAGUCGAGCGAACAGACGAGGAGCUUGCUCCUCUGACGUUAGCGGCGGACGGGUGAGUAACACGUGGAUAACCUACCUAUAAGACUGGGAUAACUUCGGGAAACCGGAGCUAAUACCGGAUAAUAUAUUGAACCGCAUGGUUCAAUAGUGAAAGACGGUUUUGCUGUCACUUAUAGAUGGAUCCGCGCCGCAUUAGCUAGUUGGUAAGGUAACGGCUUACCAAGGCAACGAUGCGUAGCCGACCUGAGAGGGUGAGCGGCAACAUGGGAAGGUAGCCGGCGUCAAGACUCCUAGGGGAGGAGCCAGGGGGGAAUCGCCCGCAAUGGGGGAAAGCCUGACGGAGCAGCGCCGAGUGGGGGAUGAAGUUCUCGGGAUCGUAAACCUUUUUUAUGGGGAAAAAAAAAAUGUGAAAGAAAAUAUGCCCGUUUUGAGGGUACAUAAUCAAAAAGCAAGGGCUAACUACGUG
rnacentral:rRNA from 1 species